rnacentral:lncRNA from 1 species
UUGCAACACAAGAAACUGAAAAAAUCCAAGGGGUCUGAAUACUUUUGCAAGGCACACACUGUAUGUGUCUCAAAUGGCCAAAGUGUGCCUGUCACAAUCAUGUCUCGGGGGGCACGUACCCUAGAUAUGAUCUCAAAUGUUGGAAGAAUCUCUACGAUGGAUUUUCACACAUACUCAAGUGAACCCCACUGUCCUCCCCUCCCCAGGUGCCCCCCCUCUGUGGACCCCCCUAGCGUGACCCCCUGUGGCUGGUUCAGAAGGAAUCCCCUCCACCCUGCACCGAGGACCAGUUACGACCUGCGGGAGCGCAUCUGCAUCGGCAGUAUGACGACCAUGGAAACAGCUGUGUACCAGAAGGUGCCCACUGACGACGCUGAGGCUGAGAUGCUGGCUAGCGCUGAUCUGGACGACAUGAAAAGUCACCGAUUCGAGGACAACCCUGGAGUGAGGCGUCACCUGGUGAAGAAGUCAUCUCGAUGCCAGCUCCUCCAGACCACCAACAGCUCUUCGCAACUGUCCAGCGUGAAGAAGAAGAGGACGGCUGACAAGAAGACCCAUGAGGUGUUUGUGGAACUCAAUGAGCUGAUAGUGGAUAAGAACCAGGAAAUGCGCUGGAAGGAGACGGCCCGUUGGAUCAAGUUUGAGGAGGACGUGGAGGAGGAGACAGACCGCUGGGGAAAACCCCACGUGGCUUCGCUUUCCUUCCGUAGCCUGCUGGAGCUCCGCAGGACCAUCACACAUGGUGCCGUCCUUUUGGACCUGGAGCAGACCACCUUGCCUGGUAUUGCUCACCUGGUGGUGGAGACCAUGAUCAUCUCAGACCAGAUCAGAGCGGAGGACCGUGCCAACGUGCUCCGCGCCCUGCUGCUCAAACACCAAAAUCACGUCACCCCCCCCCUGCCGACGGCUCACGAUCAUCAGAUUACCAAACACACAAAACUCUUAGCCAAGAUUCCCAAGGACGCCGAAGCAACCGUGGUCUUAGUGGGGUGUGUGGAGUUCUUGGAGCAGCCGGCCAUGGCCUUCAUCAGGCUGAGUGAGGCAGUGCUGCUGGAGUCGGUCCUGGAGGUGCCGGUGCCGGUCCGUUUCCUCUUUGCCCUGCUCGGCCCCGCUCAGUCCAACAUGGACUAUCACGAGAUCGGACGCUCCUUCUCCACCCUGAUGUCUGACAAGAACUUCCACGAGGUGGCUUACUUCGCGGACGACCGGCAGGACCUGCUGAACGGCAUCAAUGAGUUCCUGGACUGCAGCAUCGUUAUCCCCCCGUCGGACGUGGAGGGCAAGGACCUGCUAAAGACGGUAGCCUCCUUCCAGAAGCAGAUGCUGCGCAAGAGGAAGGAGAGAGAGAACAUUAAGAAGGGCCUGACCCAUGUGAGCCAGGAUGAGCAGGAAGAGGAGGACCAGGAGGUGGACCCCAUGAAGCGGUCGGGCAUCCCCUUCGGAGGCCUCAUCCAUGACAUCAGGCGACGCUACCCACGCUACGCCAGUGACAUCAAGGACGCCUUGGACUCACAGUGCAUUGCAGCCGUCAUCUUCAUCUACUUCGCAGCCCUCUCGCCCACCAUCACCUUCGGAGGACUGCUGGGAGAGAAAACAGAGGGCAUGAUGGGAGUGUCUGAGCUUAUCAUCUCCACGGCGACCCUGGGGGUGCUGUUCUCGCUGUUGGCCGGACAGCCCCUGCUCAUCAUCGGAUUCUCAGGACCGCUGCUGGUGUUUGAGGAGGCCUUCUACAAGUUCUGCCAGGCCCAGGGCUUUGAGUACCUGACUGGCCGGGUGUGGAUCGGCUUCUGGCUCGUCUUCAUAGUGCUGUUGAUAGUAGCGGCUGAGGGCAGCUUCUUGGUCAAAUACAUCUCACCCUUCACCCAGGAGAUCUUCGCCUUCCUCAUCUCGCUCAUCUUCAUCUAUGAGACCUUCUCGAAGCUCAUCAAGGUAUUCCAGGAGCAUCCUUUGAUGAGAAGCUACCCGCCUGCUCUCAGCCUGCCCGGUAUGGACUUCAUCAACCCCACAGACCCCGGGGGCCCGGUCCUAAACCAACCCAACACAGCCUUGCUGUCUCUCGUCCUUAUGCUUGGCACCUUCUUUGUGGCCUUCUUCCUCAGGAAAUUGCGCAAUAGUCGCUUCCUGGGCGGGAAGGCCAGAAGAAUCAUCGGAGACUUUGGCAUCCCCAUCUCCAUCCUCUUCUCUGUACUGUUGAGUUACUCCAUCCCCGACACUUACACCCAGAAGCUAAAUGUACCAUCUGGUUUCUCGGUCACGUCUCCUGACAAGCGGGGCUGGUUGAUCAGUCCAUUCGGUGACAAGAAGCCCUUUCCCUUGUGGAUGAUGGGGGCUUCGGUGGUGCCCGCCCUCCUUGUCUUCAUCCUCAUCUUCAUGGAGACACAGAUCACCUCACUAAUCGUCAGCAAGAAGGAGCGUCGCCUGGUCAAGGGAUCGGGCUUCCACCUGGACCUGCUGCUCAUUGUCACACUGGGCGCCAUGUGCCCUCUGUUAGGCCUGCCCUGGCUCACAGCCGCCACUGUGCGCUCUGUCACGCAUGUCAACGCCCUUACUGUCAUGAGCAAGGCCACGGCACCUGGCGAGAAGCCUAUGAUCCAGGAGGUGAAGGAGCAGCGGGUGACUGGCCUGGUAGUUGCCGUGCUCGUGGGUAUGUCUAUCGUGAUGACGGACGUGCUCCGUAACAUCCCAUUGGCCGUGCUGUUCGGGAUCUUCCUCUACAUGGGCGUCACGUCGAUCACCGGCAUCCAGCUCUACGAGCGCAUCACACUCAUGUUCACGCCCGCCAAGCACCACCCCGACCACAUAUACGUGACCAAGGUGAAGACAUGGCGUAUGAAUAUGUUCACCAUCAUCCAGCUGGCCUGCAUCGUGCUACUGUGGGUGGUCAAGUCGACCGUGGCCUCACUCGCCUUCCCCUUCAUCCUCAUCCUGACCGUGCCGCUCCGCCGCCUCAUCCUCUCCCGGAUCUUUGAGGAGCGUGAACCAAUAAUUCAUAAACUCUCGUCCCCACUCAAACCCUGGACAUGGGUUCUUCCUCUUCCUUUUAACGGUCAAGCUCUCUACAGGUUCCGGGCGUAA